rnacentral:rRNA from 1 species
UUGGAGGGCAAGUCUGGUGCCAGCAGCCGCGGUAAUUCCAGCUCCAAUAGCGUAUAUUAAAGUUGUUGCAGUUAAAAAGCUCGUAGUUGAAUUUCGGGAUCAGAUUGUCGGUCGUGCCUCGGUACGCACUGGCAUUAUUGGUUCCUACCUUCUGAAGAACCGCGAUGUCAUUAAUUUGGUGUCGUGGGGAAUCAGGACUGUUACUUUGAAAAAAUUAGAGUGUUUAAAGCAGGCGCACGCUUGAAUACAUUAGCAUGGAAUAAUGAAAUAGGACGUUUGAUUCUAUUUUGUUGGUUUCUAGGAUCGACGUAAUGAUUAAUAGGGAUAGUUGGGGGCAUUAGUAUUCAAUUGUCAGAGGUGAAAUUCUUGGAUUUAUUGAAGACUAACUUCUGCGAAAGCAUUUGCCAAGGAUGUUUUCAUUAAUCAAGAACGAAAGUUAGGGGAUCGAAGACGAUCAGAUACCGUCGUAGUCUUAACCAUAAACUAUGCCGACUAAGGAUCGGAUGAUGUUAAUUUUUUAAUGACUCAUUCGGCGCCUUACGGGAAAC